rnacentral:rRNA from 1 species
UACGAAGGGUGCAAACGUUGCUCGGAAUUAUUGGGCGUAAAGCGCACGUAGGCGGCAUUGCAAGUCGGAUGUGAAAUCCCUCGGCUUAACCAAGGAAGUGCAUCCGAAACUGCAGUGCUUGAGUACUUAAGAGGAUCGCGGAAUUCCCGGUGUAGAGGUGAAAUUCGUAGAUAUUCGGAGGAACACCAGCGGCGAAGGCGGCUCACUGGUCCAUUACUGACGCUGAGGUGCGAAAGCGUGGGGAGCAAACAGG